rnacentral:rRNA from 1 species
UACGAAGGGGGCGAGCGUUGUUCGGAUUUACUGGGCGUAAAGGGCGCGCAGGCGGCUUUGUUUGUCAGGCGUGAAAGCCCCGGGCUUAACCUGGGAACUGCGUUUGAUACGGCAGGGCUAGAGUUCGGGAGAGGAGAGUGGAAUUCCCAGUGUAGAGGUGAAAUUCGUAGAUAUUGGGAAGAACACCGGUGGCGAAGGCGGCUCUCUGGACCGAUACUGACGCUGAGGCGCGAAAGCCAGGGGAGCAAACGGG